rnacentral:rRNA from 1 species
GACCCUGUUGAGCUUGACUCUAGUUUGACAUUGUGAAAAGACAUAGAGGGUGUAGCAUAAGUGGGAGCUCCGGCGCCGUUGAAAUACCACUACCUUUAUCGUCUUUUUACUUAUUCAAUGAGGCGGAGCUGGGAUUAACAGUCCCACCUUUUGGCUUCAAGGUCCUUUACGGGCUGAUCCGGGUUGAAGACAUUGUCAGGUGGGGAGUUUGGCUGGGGGGGCACAUCUGUUAAACAAUAAC